UUAAGUUAUUAAGGGCGCACGGUGGAUGCCUUGGCACUAGAAGCCGAUGAAGGACGUUACUAACGACGAUAUGCUUUGGGGAGCUGUAAGUAAGCUUUGAUCCAGAGAUUUCCGAAUGGGGAAACCCAGCAUGAGUUAUGUCAUGUUAUCGAUAUGUGAAUACAUAGCAUAUCAGAAGGCACACCCGGAGAACUGAAACAUCUUAGUACCCGGAGGAAGAGAAAGAAAAUUCGAUUCCCUUAGUAGCGGCGAGCGAAACGGGAAGAGCCCAAACCAACAAGCUUGCUUGUUGGGGUUGUAGGACACUCUAUACGGAGUUACAAAGGACGACAUUAGACGAAUCAUCUGGAAAGAUGAAUCAAAGAAGGUAAUAAUCCUGUAGUCGAAAAUGUUGUCUCUCUUGAGUGGAUCCUGAGUACGACGGAGCACGUGAAAUUCCGUCGGAAUCUGGGAGGACCAUCUCCUAAGGCUAAAUACUCUCUAGUGACCGAUAGUGAACCAGUACCGUGAGGGAAAGGUGAAAAGCACCCCGGAAGGGGAGUGAAAUAGAACCUGAAACCGUGUGCUUACAAGUAGUCAGAGCCCGUUAAUGGGUGAUGGCGUGCCUUUUGUAGAAUGAACCGGCGAGUUACGAUUUGAUGCAAGGUUAAGCAGUAAAUGUGGAGCCGUAGCGAAAGCGAGUCUGAAUAGGGCGUUUAGUAUUUGGUCGUAGACCCGAAACCAGGUGAUCUACCCUUGGUCAGGUUGAAGUUCAGGUAACACUGAAUGGAGGACCGAACCGACUUACGUUGAAAAGUGAGCGGAUGAACUGAGGGUAGCGGAGAAAUUCCAAUCGAACCUGGAGAUAGCUGGUUCUCUCCGAAAUAGCUUUAGGGCUAGCCUCAAGUGAUGAUUAUUGGAGGUAGAGCACUGUUUGGACGAGGGGCCCCUCUCGGGUUACCGAAUUCAGACAAACUCCGAAUGCCAAUUAAUUUAACUUGGGAGUCAGAACAUGGGUGAUAAGGUCCGUGUUCGAAAGGGAAACAGCCCAGACCACCAGCUAAGGUCCCAAAAUAUAUGUUAAGUGGAAAAGGAUGUGGCGUUGCCCAGACAACUAGGAUGUUGGCUUAGAAGCAGCCAUCAUUUAAAGAGUGCGUAAUAGCUCACUAGUCGAGUGACACUGCGCCGAAAAUGUACCGGGGCUAAACAUAUUACCGAAGCUGUGGAUUGUCCUUUGGACAAUGGUAGGAGAGCGUUCUAAGGGCGUUGAAGCAUGAUCGUAAGGACAUGUGGAGCGCUUAGAAGUGAGAAUGCCGGUGUGAGUAGCGAAAGACGGGUGAGAAUCCCGUCCACCGAUUGACUAAGGUUUCCAGAGGAAGGCUCGUCCGCUCUGGGUUAGUCGGGUCCUAAGCUGAGGCCGACAGGCGUAGGCGAUGGAUAACAGGUUGAUAUUCCUGUACCACCUAUAAUCGUUUUAAUCGAUGGGGGGACGCAGUAGGAUAGGCGAAGCGUGCGAUUGGAUUGCACGUCUAAGCAGUAAGGCUGAGUAUUAGGCAAAUCCGGUACUCGUUAAGGCUGAGCUGUGAUGGGGAGAAGACAUUGUGUCUUCGAGUCGUUGAUUUCACACUGCCGAGAAAAGCCUCUAGAUAGAAAAUAGGUGCCCGUACCGCAAACCGACACAGGUAGUCAAGAUGAGAAUUCUAAGGUGAGCGAGCGAACUCUCGUUAAGGAACUCGGCAAAAUGACCCCGUAACUUCGGGAGAAGGGGUGCUCUUUAGGGUUAACGCCCAGAAGAGCCGCAGUGAAUAGGCCCAAGCGACUGUUUAUCAAAAACACAGGUCUCUGCUAAACCGUAAGGUGAUGUAUAGGGGCUGACGCCUGCCCGGUGCUGGAAGGUUAAGAGGAGUGGUUAGCUUCUGCGAAGCUACGAAUCGAAGCCCCAGUAAACGGCGGCCGUAACUAUAACGGUCCUAAGGUAGCGAAAUUCCUUGUCGGGUAAGUUCCGACCCGCACGAAAGGCGUAACGAUUUGGGCACUGUCUCAACGAGAGACUCGGUGAAAUCAUAGUACCUGUGAAGAUGCAGGUUACCCGCGACAGGACGGAAGAGACCCCGUGGAGCUUUACUGUAGCCUGAUAUUGAAAUUCGGCACAGCUUGUACAGGAUAGGUAGGAGCCUUUGAAACGUGAGCGCUAGCUUACGUGGAGGCGCUGGUGGGAUACUACCCUAGCUGUGUUGGCUUUCUAACCCGCACCACUUAUCGUGGUGGGAGACAGUGUCAGGCGGGCAGUUUGACUGGGGCGGUCGCCUCCUAAAAGGUAACGGAGGCGCUCAAAGGUUCCCUCAGAAUGGUUGGAAAUCAUUCAUAGAGUGUAAAGGCAUAAGGGAGCUUGACUGCGAGACCUACAAGUCGAGCAGGGUCGAAAGACGGACUUAGUGAUCCGGUGGUUCCGCAUGGAAGGGCCAUCGCUCAACGGAUAAAAGCUACCCCGGGGAUAACAGGCUUAUCUCCCCCAAGAGUUCACAUCGACGGGGAGGUUUGGCACCUCGAUGUCGGCUCAUCGCAUCCUGGGGCUGUAGUCGGUCCCAAGGGUUGGGCUGUUCGCCCAUUAAAGCGGUACGCGAGCUGGGUUCAGAACGCCGUGAGACAGUUCGGUCCCUAUCCGUCGUGGGCGUAGGAAAUUUGAGAGGAGCUGUCCUUAGUACGAGAGGACCGGGAUGGACAUACCUCUGGUGUACCAGUUGUCGUGCCAACGGCAUAGCUGGGUAGCUAUGUGUGGACGGGAUAAGUGCUGAAAGCAUCUAAGCAUGAAGCCCCCCUCAAGAUGAGAUUUCCCAACUUCGGUUAUAAGAUCCCUCAAAGAUGAUGAGGUUAAUAGGUUCGAGGUGGAAGCAUGGUGACAUGUGGAGCUGACGAAUACUAAUCGAUCGAAGACUUAAUCAA
rnacentral:rRNA from 1 species